UACGGGGGGGGGCAAGCGUUGUUCGGAAUUACUGGGCGUAAAGCGCGUGUAGGCGGCUCUUCAAGUCGAGUGUGAAAGCUCCAGGCUUAACCUGGGAAUUGCGCUCGAUACUGUUGAGCUAGAGUGUGGAAAGGGGCUACUGGAAUUCCGUGUGUAGCGGUGAAAAUGCGUAGAUAUAACGGAGGAACACCUGCGGCGAAGGCGGGUAGCUGGGCCAACACGUGACGCUGGAGACGCGAAAGCUAGGGGAGCAAACGGG
rnacentral:rRNA from 1 species